UACGAGAAUAAAAAGAGAAUGAAGUUAGUAAAUAUAUGAUUGCUAACAACAAAAGUUGUUUUUCAAAGGAAUUUCUAGAAAUGGGAUUCUUAAUAGGUAUUGUCUAUCUUCGUAGCUUCAUUUAUUCAGUGAGUUUUACCUUUUAUUUUAUUUUAUUUUAUUUUAUUUUAUUUUAUUUUACUUUUUGAGAUGGAGUUUCGCUCUUUUUGCCCAGGCUGGAGUGCAAUCGUGCAAUCUUGGCUCACUGCACCCUCCGCCUCCUGGGUUCAAGUGAUUCUCCUGCCUCAGCCUCCUGGGUAGCUGGGAUUACAGGCACGCACCACAUGCCUGGCUAAUAUUUUUGUACUUUUAGUAGAGACGAGGUUUCACCAUGUUGGCCAGCCUGGUCUGAAACUCCUGACCUCAGGUGAUCCGCCCACCUUGGCCUCCCAAAGUGCUGGGAUUACAGGCAUGAGCCACUGAGCCCAGCCGAGUUUUACCUUUUAUUCGAAUGAAAAUAUAGCAAGUUAGUUUUGUAGAUAUCUUGAUAGUCCUUCAGGAAUAACAUUUUCCUAGGCUUGCAUUGACUUUAACAUGCCUAUAUCAGAUAGACAUUAUGUAGUUAAGUGGAUACCAUAGCUGUUACUUUCCUUAAAACAUACUACUAAUAAUUCUUAGAAUCAGAAUGAUACUUACAAAAAUUAUUUUUGCAAAUCUGCCAUGAUCACCUUAAAGGGGCGCAGAUCAUGACAAUUUUUGUCUGGACAUGCUUACUAAAGAAUAAACAUUUGUCUUCUUGUUUAUAAAGGAUGAGAAGCACUCAUUUAUCCAUUGUAGAGCAUGUAUGAUUUGCUGUCUCUAGUGAGACUGAUGGAUGGCCUUAAAAUGAAGCAUUCCAAUCAUGUUGAAAAGAAGUAGCCUUGUUGAGCAAAAAAGCCAAUUGUAAAAGUUAACAUAUUGCAUGAUUCCACUUAUAUAACAUUUUUAAAAUUAAAUUUUAUUGAUGGAGACUAGAUUAGUUGCCAGAGGUUGGGAGGGAUGAUUUGGAAGGGAGAUGGUUUUGGUCACUAAAGGCCAACAUGAAGGACCCUUAUGGUGUUGGAACUUGUGGUGCUGGGAUCUUGACUGUGGUGAUGGAUAACUGACCCUCUAUAAAAUUCUACUGAAAUUAAUACACACACACACAAAAAUGAGUAUAAGUAAAACUUGGAAAUCUGAAUAAGAUAGGUAGGUUGUAUCAAUAUCAGUAUCCUGAUUGUGACAUUAUGCUGUAGUUCUGUGAAUUGUUACCAUUGUGGAAAAUGGCAGAAUACAAAGAAUCUCUCUGUAUUAUGUCUUAAAACCACAUGUGAAUCUACAAUUAUCUCAAUAAAAAUUUAAUUUAAAAAAAAAGUAGCCAGUAAAAGUCAUCUAUGGUGUGAGGUAAGGAUGGUAGUUUUUCUACCAUCAGGAGAAAAACUUGAGAGAUGGGUGCACCAAAAUCUCAGAAAUUACCACUAAAGGGUGUAGUGGAAGGUAGGGGGUGGAGGAAGGCAUAGUGACCAGGAAGGCAUGCUGAUGGCCUCAAACGUUUUUUUUCUCCUUUUGGUAUUAGAUUAUAUGAUGUGUUCACUUUGUGAAAAUUCAUCAAGUUGUAUACUUCUGACUUGUACAUUUUACAUAUAAUAUAUACACAUAUACACACACAUUAACCCGUUUUCCACUUGCUCCAAGAAUACUGCACUGGCAGCGAGCUGCACUUUCCUUCCUAAAUGGAAAAUGGGUUAAAAAAGAAAGAGAAGAGUCGACAGAGGCCAACAGGAGCCCCAAACAUGUAUUCCUCUUCACUAUUGGCCUGGACAUCUCCACAUAGGCAGUCAUAUAGAGACUUGAAAUAUCAUUCAAGGGAUUUGGGUAUCCAGUAGACUUCUAGUUACAUAUACUACAAAACUGACUUUGUACUCUCAAGUAGACCUUUCGUAGAAAGAAAAUGUUUCUAAUAAAAAUAUAUUAGAACC
rnacentral:sRNA from 1 species